rnacentral:rRNA from 1 species
AUUGAACGCUGGCGGCAGGCCUAACACAUGCAAGUCGAACGAGUGGCGGACGGGUGAGUAAUGUCUGGGAAACUGCCUGAUGGAUGGGGAUAACUACUGGAAACGGUAGCUAAUACCGCAUACCAUCGGAUGUGCCCAGAUGGGAUUAGCUAGUAGGUGGGGUAACGGCUCACCUAGGCCACGAUCCCUAGCUGGUCUGAGAGGAGGACCAGCCACACUGGAACUGAGACACGGUCCAGACUCCUACGGGAGGCAGCAGUGGGGAAUAUUGCGCAAUGGGGGCAAGCCUGAUGCAGCCAUGCCGCGUGUAUGAAGAAGGCCUUCGGGUGGUAAAGUACUUUCAGCGGGGAGGCGUUACCCGCAGAAGAAGCACCGGCUAACUCCGUGCCAGCAGCCGCGGUAAUUC